rnacentral:rRNA from 1 species
CCUGGCUCAGAUUGAACGCUGGCGGCAGGCCUAACACAUGCAAGUCGAACGGUAACAGGAANCAAGCUUGCUNNUUNGCUGACGAGUGGCGGACGGGUGAGUAAUGUCUGGGAAACUGCCUGAUGGAGGGGGAUAACUACUGGAAACGGUAGCUAAUACCGCAUAACGUCGCAAGACCAAAGAGGGGGACCUUCGGGCCUCUUGCCAUCGGAUGUGCCCAGAUGGGAUUAGCUAGUAGGUGGGGUAACGGCUCACCUAGGCGACGAUCCCUAGCUGGUCUGAGAGGAUGACCAGCCACACUGGAACUGAGACACGGUCCAGACUCCUACGGGAGGCAGCAGUGGGGAAUAUUGCACAAUGGGCGCAAGCCUGAUGCAGCCAUGCCGCGUGUAUGAAGAAGGCCUUCGGGUUGUAAAGUACUUUCAGCGGGGAGGAAGGGAGUAAAGUUAAUACCUUUGCUCAUUGACGUUACCCGCAGAAGAAGCACCGGCUAACUCCGUGCCAGCA